UUUGGGUAAUAGUUUUAAAAUCAAUUUUAAUACAUUAAAACGUUCUCAAAAACUAUUUUGUAUUUGUUGCCUCUUCAUGUCCUUAUUUUGUGAAUUGUUUGGCCUCUAAAGCAGGGGUCGCUGACCUUUUAGAAUAUGAGGGCUAUUUUCUGGGUACCGAGUAAUACCAAGAAAUACCAGUUUGAUUUUAGUGUGCAGACAGUGACCACAAUAAUUAUCGAAAACAAUUUACCAACCUAGGAAACAUAAAUAUCCACAUGCAACAAUAUUUUAAUCAAUUCCAAUUUUUUUUAAAUGAGUACGGUUAUAUUUGUAGGAUAUCACUGUCAUUUUAUUUUUUAUUAAUUUUUUUAUUUUUUUUUACAAACAAAUCAUGUUCAAGUUACACUAUUUAAUUUGCCAACGGUUUAAAAAAAGUAGCAUUUACAUUGUUUUUUUUUUUCAAUUAAAUUGGUUAGAAAAUAAGUUAUUUUGAAGUAAAAAAAUUUUAUAACAUUAGUUUAGUUUAUUAUUUCUUCGGUCAGUGGUUAACAAAAUAAACAAACAGUUUUACAUAAACAAACAGUUGUACAUUCAUAAAUUGAAAAUGUUGCAGACCAAAAGGGUUUAGGCUGGAGUUGAACACUUAUUGCGCCUAACCCUAUAAACAAUGUCAAAUACAAGAUGAGCUUCCAAAAAAUAUUAAAUUUCCUUUGCACAACAUAUUAUAAAUACACCUUGUACACAACAUAAACACUGUUCAAUUAUAUACACAGUAAAUGCAUGUGAAAUAUCCUUGUACACGUGUUAAACCUUUGUACCAAUUAUACACUAUAUACAUACAAUUAUACUUCCAUUAUUAUUUAUAUCCCACAUUUAGUUUGUAAUUAACAUCGAUUAUAGUAUUAACUACUGUGUUGAUUCAAGAGUGAUAUAUUUUUCAAGACAUAGAUCUUAAAGUGUUUUUUAAAUGUGUGAAUGGAACUGGAACAUUUUAAGGAAUCAUCCAAGCUCACAUAUAAACAUUCGGUUAUAUUUCAUAUAAAUGAAGUGUUGGGGCCAAAUUUCCUUAUUUGUUUAUAUUGUUUUUAUUUUGUUUUCUCUAAUUGAUUGCUGACCUCAGUUCAUGCUGAAUUUCCUGUUCGGCAGAUUGCUCCGCCCACUUCCUCUUGAGAACCAGGAAGUGUUGACAGGGGUGGGACCGUUGCUAUGGUGCGGUUGCCAUGGUAGCCUCUUUUAAUUGGGUUCAGGUGUGAGCACUGGUGGGGCGAUUGCAUGGAGAACAAACAGUUUUCGACCGUGCCGUGCGUGGUCAGGUCUCGCUGCUGUGACAAUGUGCCAUUCAAGGUGCUGUGUGAGAUUAGGCAACAUAGAUUCUCCGGUUUCAUCCAUAAGUGACUCAGCAGUUCAGAAAGAUAUAUCGAACUAUUGUGCUCCAGAUGCCAUUCAACACAACAAAACAGAUGACAACUUGGAAAAGCAUGGAGGUCUCCAACUUCUUUGUGUGUGGCUAGGUCAAGGAAAGGUCAAGACUCUACCAGAUAAAUCAUGCAUAGUUUUUGCUCGGGCUACGCAAGACAGCGUGGAGGUGAAUGACGGGGAACGUUCAAUGACCGUCACUAUCUAAUCCAUUGGCUUCACCUGCGGAUCUUGCUCAGCGUCAGUCGGAUGUGAGGAAACUUCUCCUUGAAGGUUUCGUUCAUGUCCUUCUUCAGGUCAGAUGGUUUGACGUACUCAAUAACCGUCGUCUGCCAGGACAGAAAAAAAUAGCUAAGUUAAGACAGCCGGGGAAAAGAAGAAUGGGUCAUUUUUUAAAUAUAUUUAAAACAAAAAUAUAUUUUGUAUAAAUAUUUUUGAAUUUAACAUAAAAAUAAAUAAUGAAAAUGCAAUACAAUUACAUACAAAAAAUACAUGAUUAAAAUAAAAAACAAAAUGUAUGUAUUUAAAUAAAUAAAAAUUAAAUGUAUACAACUUGCUAAAUAUAAAUGUAAUUAUACAACUAAAAAGCCAGGAAAUGUAUAAAUUGAUUAUGAAAUGGUUAUAUUGCUUGUGUAUAACACGUUAUGUCACAAGCUAAUGCUAAAAGUGUUUAAAAAAACUAUAGUGCGAAAAUAAAGAGCACCUCCCGCUUCCAUUUGAACUUUCAGUCACCAGGUAGUAAGACAAAAAUGUGAGGAAUGUAACGUUCCCACCGCUACUCUUGACACAAUGACCAUUGUUGUUGCACGUCAGCCUUUUGUAGUUGGUGGGAAAGACAAAACAUGGCCUGGCCUUGACACAGCGUUCAAAUAUGUGUCAGGAAGGUGGCAGUAAGUUUGGUCCAAAACAGCUACAACGGGUCUGAAAUGCAGCGCGUGGGUCGUUCGCCGCCCGCAACUCGUAUUUUGAUUGAAAAAUACAAUAAACUGCAUUAGAAUAUUAAUAUUUUUUUAAGACAAAAGAAAAUGGUCAGAAAAAAAAGUUAGCAUAGCAUGCAUAUGUUGAGCUACAAAUAGCCUUCUCAGAUUUUGUAUCAACAUUUGCCAGAAAAUGGUUGAUUAGUUCCUUCUGUAAUAACACUAUUUUCACUAUUCUAUUGUUUGCUUGUGACAAAUAACGCUAAAAGGCUAAAUAGUAGACAAGUGUCAUGGCCGCUCUGUUAACCCAGGUAUGUGUAUUUCAGUGUUUUCCAAUUUCUAUUUGUUCAGUACUGUACAUUGGAUUGGUCUAAGCGCGGUCCUUGGGUUGUUUGAGUUUUCUGUAUAAACACACACGAGAGGGGCUUUUUAAGAUUCCCCAUGUAGUCGUCAUGGCGGGAAAAUGCAGGAGGUUCGCUAACGCCCCAAAUAACUUUGUAUCUUCACAUAUUGUAUCAGCAGCAAAACAGACGAGUUCAAGAAAGAGACGUUUGUCUCACACUCUUUUUUGUUUGUUUGUGUUGCCUUCACUGACUCACCAUGUAUGAAGGAAAGAUGAGCACUCUCUUGUGUUUCCCGCAAGGCCACUGGGGGUCGUCUAGAAGAUUAGGGUCGUAUUCGCGGAAGUCGCUCAGAUCGUUUCCUAAGACCAUCAAUAAAAAGUGAUCAAACAAUUUAACUGCUUUUAAGGCUUCAGGCUUUGCUACACUUUUUUCAAAUCAAGCCUGACGCUCUGGCAACUACCAGUCAGCUACAAAUGUGGGAGCUGUUAGUUGUCCCAUUCCUUCAUGUCACGUUGUUGUAUGUGAUUUAUGACAUGUAUUAUGUUGAGGCAGAUGGGUACUACAAAUGUAAAAAAAAAAAAUGAUAAAGACAACCAACCGGUGUC